UACGUAGGGUCCGAGCGUUGUCCGGAAUUACUGGGCGUAAAGGGCGCGUAGGCGGCCUGCUAAGUCGAACGUGAAAUCCCUGGGCUCAACCCAGGAACUGCGUCCGAUACUGGUUGGCUUGAAUCCGGGAGAGGGAUGUGGAAUUCCAGGUGUAGCGGUGAAAUGCGUAGAUAUCUGGAGGAACACCGGUGGCGAAGGCGACAUCCUGGACCGGUAUUGACGCUGAGGCGCGAAAGCCAGGGGAGCAAACGGG
rnacentral:rRNA from 1 species